rnacentral:rRNA from 1 species
CGGAGGAUCCAAGCGUUAUCCGGAAUCAUUGGGUUUAAAGGGUCCGUAGGCGGGUUUAUAAGUCAGUGGUGAAAGCCCAUCGCUCAACGAUGGAACGGCCAUUGAUACUGUAGAUCUUGAAUUAUUAGGAAGUAACUAGAAUAUGUAGUGUAGCGGUGAAAUGCUUAGAGAUUACAUGGAAUACCAAUUGCGAAGGCAGGUUACUACUAAUGGAUUGACGCUGAUGGACGAAAGCGUGGGUAGCGGACAGGAUUAGAUACCCUGGUAGUCCACGCCGUAAACGAUGGAUACUAGCUGUUCGGAGCAAUCUGAGUGGCUAAGCGAAAGUGAUAAGUAUCCCACCUGGGGAGUACGUUCGCAAGAAUG